UUUUUCGAACUUGACCAAAUAUAAUCAUGAGGAUGAAGGCAGCAAUUUUUAUUGUAAUUCUCGUACUGCUUGUUUUCCGAGUGUCUUGUCAAUCUCGAGCAAGAGCAAACAGAAAGUCUACAUAUAUUGAUGUCCCAGUGCCAACUCAUCACGGUAACUGCAAGUACCACAGUCUGAAACUUCCUGACAACAGUGUCAAGUACUUUGGUACAUCUGGUACACCUUGCGAAGUAAUAUGGUGUCAUUCUAACGCAACGCAGGUAACCAUAGCAGGGUGUCCUCCUCCUACAGGUACACAAUAUACUGGCAAAGGAGGAAGAUGGCCUAAUUGCUGCCCAAAAACAAACCAAUGAAUGCCUUGAAACACUUUGAGUGAAGUUUGCAUAACUUUGUAAUGUUCGAGACUUUGUAGACGGCACCUACCAAUGCAGCGUUGAGGGAUAGUAAAACAAACCCUUGAUGCUUUUUUUUUUGUAAAAAUUUAAGCGCGUCAAAUAAAGCUUAUGUAGGGCUCAUCAAAUAAACAGCUCAAAUGUAA